GUAACUUCUCGGCCUUUUGCCUAAGAUCAAGUGUAGUAUCUGUUCUUAUCAGUUUAAUAUCUGAUAUAUAUUCUGUAUGAGGACUUUAUAUUAAACAGAUUUUUAGAGCAGGGAGCUGGAAGAGGAGCUUUCUCCGUCCGAUCCACACAUCGAUAUUUGAUAUUGCAGUACCUCCGGAAUAGUGCAGCUUUU